AAGUGAGCAUGCAGGCAUGAGUAGCGAUAAUUAAUGUGAGAAUCAUUAACGCCGUAAACCCAAGGUUUCCUACGCGAUGCUCGUCAUCGUAGGGUUAGUCGGGUCCUAAGUCGAGUCCGAAAGGGGUAGACGAUGGCAAAUUGGUUAAUAUUCCAAUACCAACAUUAGUGUGCGAUGGAAGGACGCUUAGGGCUAAGGGGGCUAGCGGAUGGAAGUGCUAGUCUAAGGUCGUAGGAGGUUAUACAGGCAAAUCCGUAUAACAAUACUCCGAGAACUGAAAGGCUUUUUGAAGUCUUCGGAUGGAUAGAAGAACCCCUGAUGCCGUCGAGCCAAGAAAAGUUUCUAAGUUUAGCUAAUGUUGCCCGUACCGUAAACCGACACAGGUGGGUGGGAUGAGUAUUCUAAGGCGCGUGGAAGAACUCUCUUUAAGGAACUCUGCAAAAUAGCACCGUAUCUUCGGUAUAAGGUGUGGUUAGCUUUGUAUUAGGAUUUACUCCGAAAGCAAGGAAACUUACAACAAAGAGUCCCUCCCGACUGUUUACCAAAAACACAGCACUCUGCUAACUCGUAAGAGGAUGUAUAGGGUGUGACGCCUGCCCGGUGCUCGAAGGUUAAUUGAUGGGGUUAGCAUUAGCGAAGCUCUUGAUCGAAGCCCGAGUAAACGGCGGCCGUAACUAUAACGGUCCUAAGGUAGCGAAAUUCCUUGUCGGUUAAAUACCGACCUGCAUGAAUGGCGUAACGAGAUGGGAGCUGUCUCAAAGAGGGAUCCAGUGAAAUUGUAGUGGAGGUGAAAAUUCCUCCUACCCGCGGCAAGACGGAAAGACCCCGUGGACCUUUACUACAGCUUGACACUGCUACUUGGAUAAGAAUGUGCAGGAUAGGUGGGAGGCUUUGAGUAUAUGACGCCAGUUGUAUAUGAGCCAUUGUUGAGAUACCACUCUUUCUUAUUUGGGUAGCUAACCAGCUUGAGUUAUCCUCAAGUGGGACAAUGUCUGGUGGGUAGUUUGACUGGGGCGGUCGCCUCCCAAAUAAUAACGGAGGCUUACAAAGGUUGGCUCAGAACGGUUGGAAAUCGUUCGUAGAGUAUAAAGGUAUAAGCCAGCUUAACUGCAAGACAUACAAGUCAAGCAGAGACGAAAGUCGGUCUUAGUGAUCCGGUGGUUCUGUGUGGAAGGGCCAUCGCUCAAAGGAUAAAAGGUACCCCGGGGAUAACAGGCUGAUCUCCCCCAAGAGCUCACAUCGACGGGGAGGUUUGGCACCUCGAUGUCGGCUCAUCGCAUCCUGGGGCUGGAGCAGGUCCCAAGGGUAUGGCUGUUCGCCAUUUAAAGCGGUACGCGAGCUGGGUUCAGAACGUCGUGAGACAGUUCGGUCCCUAUCUGCCGUGGGCGUAAGAAGAUUGAAGAGAUUUGACCCUAGUACGAGAGGACCGGGUUGAACAAACCACUGGUGUAGCUGUUGUUCUGCCAAGAGCAUCGCAGCGUAGCUAAGUUUGGAAAGGAUAAACGCUGAAAGCAUCUAAGCGUGAAGCCAACUCUAAGAUGAAUCUUCUCUAAGCUCUCUAGAAGACUACUAGUUUGAUAGGCUGGGUGUGUAAUGGAUGAAAGUCCUUUAGCUGACCAGUACUAAUAGAGCGUUUGGCUUAUCUUUAAUAAAGCAU
rnacentral:rRNA from 1 species